GAUGAACGCUGGCGGCGUGCCUAAUACAUGCAAGUCGAGCGAAUGGAUUAAGAGCUUGCUCUUAUGAAGUUAGCGGCGGACGGGUGAGUAACACGUGGGUAACCUGCCCAUAAGACUGGGAUAACUCCGGGAAACCGGGGCUAAUACCGGAUAACAUUUUGAACCGCAUGGUUCGAAAUUGAAAGGCGGCUUCGGCUGUCACUUAUGGAUGGACCCGCGUCGCGUUAGCUAGUUGGUGAGGUAACGGCUCACCAAGGCAACGAUGCGUAGCCGGCGUGAGAGUGUGAUCGGCCAAACUGGGACUGAGACAAGGCUCAGACGCCUACGGGAGGUAGCAGUAGGGAAGCUACCGCAAUGGACGAAAGUCUGACGGAGCAACGCCGCGUGAGUGAUGAAGGCUUUCGGGUCGUAAAACUCUGUUGUUAGGGAAGAACAAGUGCUAGUUGAAUAAGCUGGCACCUUGACGGUACCUAACCAGAAAGCCACGGCUAACUACGUGCCAGCCGCCGCGGUAA
rnacentral:rRNA from 1 species